AUUGAACGCUGGCGGCAGGCCUAACACAUGCAAGUCGAACGAGUGGCGGACGGGUGAGUAAUGUCUGGGAAACUGCCUGAUGGAGGGGGGUAACUACUGGAAACGGUAGCUAAUACCGCAUACAAUCAGAUGUGCCCAGAUGGGAUUAGCUGGUUGGUGGGGUAACGGCUCACCAAGGCGACGAUCCUUAGCUGGUCUGCGAGGAGGACCAGCCACACUGUAACUGAGACACGGUCCAGACUCCUACGGGAGGCAGCAGUGGGGAAGAUUGCACAAUGGGCGCAAGCCUUAUGCAGCCAUGCCGAGUGUAUGACGAAGGCCUUCGGGUUGUAAAGUACUUUCAGCGGGGAGGCGUUACCCGCAGAAUAAGCACCGGCUAACUCCGUGCCAGCAGCCGCGGUAAUUC
rnacentral:rRNA from 1 species